rnacentral:rRNA from 1 species
CCUGGUUGAUUUUGCUAGUAGUCAUAUGCUUGUCUCAAAGAUUAAGCCAUGCAUGUGUAAAUAUGAACUAAUUAUGAUUGUGAAACUACGAAUGGUUCAUUAAAUCAAUUAUAGUUUGUUUGAUGGUAUGUACUGCUUAGAUAAUCUAGUAAUUCUAGAGCUAAUACGUGCAACAAACCCUAACUUUUAGAAGGGAUACAGUUAUUAAAUAAAAGGUAGAUGCAGGCUUUACUUAUUAUUUCGAUGAUUCAUGAUAACUUGACGGAUCGUAUGGCCUUUGUAUCGAUGUUACAUCAUUCAAAUUUUUGCCCUAUCAACUUUUGAUGAUAGGAUAAUAGCCUUUUAUGGUGGUGAUCGAUGAUGGAGAAUUAGGGUUCAAUUUUGGAUAAAGAGCCUAAGAAACAGCUACCACAUCCAAGAAAGGUAGUAGAUGUGUAAAUUACCCAAUCUUAACAUGAAGAGGUAGUGACAAUAACUAAUAAUACCGAGCUAUAAGAGUCUAGUAAUUAGAAUGAGUAAAAUCUAAAUCCCUUAAUGAAGAUCCAUUUGAGGGCAAGUCUAGUGCUAGCAGCUGUGGUAAUUCCAACUCCAAUAGCAUAUAUUUAAAUUGUUGCAAUUAAAAAGCUCAUAGUUGGAACUAGGUUGGGUCAUUCGAUCUAUCUCAUGGUAAGCACUAAUCUACUCAUACCUACUGCCAGUGAUAUGCUUAUGGCUUUAACUGGUCGGGUCAUUCCUCUAGCACUAUUACUUUGAAAAAAUUAGAGUGCUCAAAGCAGGCUUACGCUUGUAUACAUUAGCAUGGGAUAACAUCAUAGGACUUGUAUUUCAUAGUUAGAGGUGAAAUAAUGAUUAAUCGAAUAGUCGAAGGCAUUUUUAUUUCUUAGUUAAAGGUGAAAUUCUUGGAUUUAUGAAAGAUAAACAACUAUGAAAGCAUUUGCGAAAAAUUUUUUCAUUAAUCAAGAAUGAAAAUUGGAGGCUCAAAGAUGAUCAAAUACUAUCCUAGUCUUAACCAUAAAUGAUGUUAACCAGGGAUCAGCGGAUGUUACUUUUAGGACUCUAUCAAUACCUUAUGAGAAAUCAAAGUCUUUAGGUUCCAAGGGAAGUAUAGUUGUUAGGCUAAAACUUAAAAGAAUUGAUGGAAGGGCACUACCAAGAAUGGAGCUUGUGGCUUAAUUUGACUCAACAUAAAGAAACUUACUAGGUCCAAACAUAGUGAGGAUUAAUAGACUGAUAGCUCUUUCUUGAUUCUAUGGGUGAUGGUGUAUGGCCAUUUUUAGUUAGUAGAGUGAUUUGUUUGGUUAAUUUUGUUAACGAAUGAGACCUCAGCCUACUAACUAGUUAUGCAAAAGUGAUCCUUCAAGGCUAAUGUCUUGGGGGACUAUGGCCACUUAGGCCAAGAAAGUUUAAGGCAAUAAUAGGUCUAUGAUGCCCUUAGAUGUUUUGGGCCGCACGUGCACUACACACAUGUAUUCAACAAGUCUAUAACCUUGGCCGACAAGCUUGGAUAAUCUUUAAAAUUUCAUCAUGAUGGGGAAAGAUCACUACAAUAGUUGGUCUUUAACAAGGAAUUCCUAAUAAGCAUGAAUCAUCAGCUCAUGUUGACUGUGUCCCUAUCCUUUGUGCACACUGCCCAUCACUCUUACUGAUUGAAUAGUUUUAUGAAGUGUUUAGAUUGUGGUGACAUGGAUGGUUCACUGCCCAUGAUGUCAUGAGAAAUCAUUGAACCUUAUCAUUUAGAGGAAUCAGAAGUCAUAACAAGGUUUCUAUAGGUGAACUUACAAAAU